ACGAACGCUGGCGGCGUGCCUAAUACAUGCAAGUAGAACGCUGAAGAGAGGAGCUUGCUCUUCUUGGAUGAGUUGCGAACGGGUGAGUAACGCGUAGGUAACCUGCCUUGUAGCGGGGGAUAACUAUUGGAAACGAUAGCUAAUACCGCAUAACAAUGGAUGACACAUGUCAUUUAUUUGAAAGGGGCAAUUGCUCCACUACAAGAUGGACCUGCGUUGUAUUAGCUAGUAGGUGAGGUAAUGGCUCACCUAGGCGACGAUACAUAGCCGACCUGAGAGGGUGAUCGGCCACACUGGGACUGAGACACGGCCCAGACUCCUACGGGAGGCAGCAGUAGGGAAUCUUCGGCAAUGGGGGCAACCCUGACCGAGCAACGCCGCGUGAGUGCAGAAGGUUUUCGGAUCGUAAAGCUCUGUUGUAAGUCAAGAACGGGUGUGAGAGUGGAAAGUUCACACUGUGACGGUAGCUUACCAGAAAGGGACGGCUAACUACGUG
rnacentral:rRNA from 1 species